CUGCAGGAUGCUUUCUUACCCAAAUCCCAUGUCAAAGCCCCACCAGCUGCCCAUAGCAUUUCAAGUGUUGCACAAAGUUACCACAAGAUGUUCUAUGUAGAUAACCCUAACAGGCCCCCUACCACAAAAUGUUCCUUUCAGACAGCCCUACCAGCUAAACUUGAGAACUAAGUUUAAAAACAGGAACCAAGAAGGGCAAGGUGUAACUUUAGGGUUUUUCCAAGAACAAAAAGUCGAAAAACAAGUUUACCCACUAGGUGACCCCCCUGCUGGAUUCAGAGGAACCAAUAGAAGGGCUGUUGCUGUGCUAAGCUAAGAACUAACCCACUUGUACCCUAUAAAAGAUCUGUAUCCCAAAGCCCGGUGUGCCAGUUCACCGAAGCUCCGGCUGAGGUUUCGCUGAGCACCCGCAGGCGCCUGUGUGACAAUAAACGCCUCCUGCUUUUUGCAGCCAGUGUCUCGUGUGGUUCGUUCCGGGUUUGGGAUCUGUGGAUCUUUCAUUUUGGAGGUUCCACCGAGAUUCCCGAUCCCGGUUCCGAUCCCGAUCCCUAUCCGGAGAACACUCGACAUCACUGGGAGACUCAUUUGCAUGCUUUGCAAUUGGUCCAGAACGAGGUCUGGAAGCCUCUAGCCGCAGCAUACAAAGAGGAACUUAAAACCCCCUUGCUGCCACAUCCCUUCAAAGUUGGAGACACCGUCUGGGUACGCAGGCACCAGAGCAAGAACCUCGAAUCGCGGUGGAAAGGACCCUACACCAUUCUGCUGACCACUCCCACUGCAGUCAAAGUGGACGGCAUCACCGCUUGGAUCCACACCUCCCACGUGAAAGCUGCACAUCCACAGGAGUCCGCAGGUACCUCUCCGGAUCCAGAAUGAAAGUUGCAACGCACUCAAAAUCCACUAAAGAUAAGACUCACACGCUGUUGAUUUUCCUUGCUUUGUGCUUUGUAUUUCCCCUAACGGCUGCUAACCAAACUGUGAGCCAGACAUGGCAAAUAUUAUCGGGGACAGGAGAUAUAAUUUAAAACCAAACAUCCACAAAAUACCCCCUUUGGGCUUAGUAACCUGCUCUAAGGCCUGAUCUUUGUUACCUGCUGGCUAAGGCAAAGGACUUUGAUGAUCCCAGUGAGGCAGAAGCAUGCGUCUACAGUGGACACUGCACCUGCAUAAAACAUCCCACAGGGUGUAGAGCAGCUCUAAGGGAGACACCCUUCUACAUAUGCCCUAGGGAUGAAAAAAACCCAGUCACA